rnacentral:SRP_RNA from 1 species
GCCCGGCAUGGUGGCGCAUGCCUGUAGUUCCAGCUACUCGGAAGGCUGAGGUGGGAGGAUCACUUGAGCCUAGGCGGUUGAGGCUGUGGUGAGCUGUGAUCACGCUGCUGCAACCAGCCUGGGCAACAGAGUGAGACCCUGUCUCAA